GGCGUGCCGGCGAUUAUUCGAACGUUUGAACCGGAGAGGAGGCGAAGGGUUCCUGAGAGCGGGAAUUCUGAAGGAUCCUGCUGCUUGUUUGUGCUACGGGGAGUUACUGUUGACUUAUUGUCGGACCGGAGGAACACCGUUUUUGACGUCUGUUCUUCUAACCAAUUUCUUAACCAGUGAUAACGGAGCACGAAGACCUCAAGUUUCUGAGACUUAAAGACAAAACAGUUGGAGGCUGCCGCCAUCUUACCAGCGUGUGACACAGGACUGCCCCAACUGGCCAGAUAUAAUUCUCUCAGACUUCAGAACAAGAGAGCAAUGACCAAACUGGCAUAACAGUAAAAUGUUUAAAUCCUGGAUUUUAACGCCGUGUCCCUGGCAACCUCCGCAUCAACUCCCGGGUUAACAGCUCCUUUCGUCGGUGUGACAUGCAAGGUAAGUUCAUGUUUUACCUAAUUACCGAAAA